AUUGAACGCUGGCGGCAUGCCUAACACAUGCAAGUCGAACGAGUGGCGGACGGGUGAGUAAUGUAUGGGAAACUGCCUGAUGGAGGGGGAUAACUACUGGAAACGGUAGCUAAUACCGCAUACCAUCGGAUGUGCCCAUAUGGGAUUAGCUAGUAGGUGGGGUAACGGCUCACCUAGGCGACGAUCCCUAGCUGGUCUGAGAGGAUGACCAGCCACACUGGAACUGAGACACGGUCCAGACUCCUACGGGAGGCAGCAGUGGGGAAUAUUGGACAAUGGGCGCAAGCCUGAUGCAGCCAUGCCGCGUGUAUGAAGAAGGCCUUCGGGUUGUAAAGUACUUUCGGCGGGGAGGCGUUACCCGCAGAAGAAGCACCGGCUAACUCCGUGCCAGCCGCCGCGGUAAUAC
rnacentral:rRNA from 1 species